ACAUUUGUUCUUUUCAAUCUUGCCACAGAGUCCACAGGACAGUUUAUUACCUUCAGGGACACCACGGGGGCAAGGACUGCACCCACAGGAAAGUAGCACAUGGAAAGAGGAAGAACCCUGAGCGAGAGGCAGGGAAGUGGAGAUCUCUCAGGGUGAAAGACUGGGAGAUGAAAGGAAAACUCCUAGAUGAGAGCGGGGUUGUUGCUGUAUUAUAUUUUGUACCUGAGAUAGUAGGUAAUAAUUUAGGUUAUGAGA